CUUCACUCUCUAUACCUCCUAAAACCCCUUCUUGACUUCGCGUGGGUUAAAUUUCCGUAUUAUAACGCUGCUGAAGGGUAUCCAGGGAAGAAUAUCUGUCAGAUGAGUAAGACAAGGAGGAGAAAGAGGUGGCAAGAAACUGAGAGGAAUCCCCCAGCUCCCAGCCUCCUCCUCCUCCUCUUUACCGCCUCCCUUUUCCCCUUGUGUGGAUGAGAGCAUCCCUUCUUUGCUGUGUGGAAUAUACAGAAGCCCCAUUGCUGGCAAAAUGCAGAGACAAUCAGGCUGCCUGGGAGAAGUGUCUGCAACAGCACAGGGACAUGUGAGCAGUUGGUGAGUGGAUCAGCCCCUGGUGUUCGGCUCCCAAACGCUGCUGCUCUUAGCACUAAAGGUAUGCUGGUGCCGCGGAUGAGCCUCUAGGUCCUAAUGCCGAUCUCUCUUCACUCAGCGCGGAUCACAGGCGUCUCAAAAAAUAACAAAAUCCAGGACAGGACCAAACAUUUAUCUCGGCUAUUUGACUUUGCUUGGAGGAGGCUGUUCGUGUGUGCUGGAGAUCAGACUCGGCUGGGAAAUCAUGGGUGUUUGUAGCGGCAGGUGCACGUUGCUUGGUAUCUGUGGAAUUCAACUGGCAUGUAUACUGGAGAGACAGAUUUUUGACUUCCUUGGUUACCAGUGGGCACCAAUCUUGGUAAAUUUUUUUCACAUCAUUGUCGUAAUCUUUGGAAUAUUUGGAACGAUCCAGUGUAGAACCCGCUACAUAACAGCUUAUGCUGUCUGGCUUGUCCUGUGGGUAUCUUGGAAUGUGUUUAUUAUCUGUUUCUAUCUGGAGGCUGGAUAUCUUUCUAAGGAGAGAGACCUUAUUAUGACAUUUAAUGUUUCAAUGCAUCGAUCCUGGUGGAUGGAAAAUGGACCAGGUUGUAUGGUUACAGGAGUGACUCCUGCUCCAGACUGGGCACCAGAGGACCAUCGGUACAUUAGCAUCUCUGACUGCUUUCUAGAGUACCAGUAUAUAGAAGUGGCACAUAGCUCUCUCCAGAUCUUUUUUGCACUUGCUGGCUUCAUCUAUGCUUGUUACAUUCUGAAAUGUAUCUCGGAAGAAGAGGACAGUUUUGAUUUCAUAGGUGGAUUUGACUCAUACGGUUAUCAGGGUCCCCAAAAAACAUCUCAUCUACAGCUGCAGCCUAUGUAUAUGAGCCAGAUCAGAGAUGACCUGAGGAAUCAGUGUGGCUGGCCUGCAGGAGAUCCAUAAAGUAUGACAAGAAAUGUGUCUUCAUGUAUUCCUAUUGCCCAAGCACUAGUGACAAUGAGGUCAAAAUGAACCAGCAAAUUACCUGAGUAUUAGAUUAAAGACUGUUCCCCAUGCCUUCUUCACAAGGCAUUCCCAAGAAUUAUCUGAAGAGGGGGAAACAAUUCCGUGCAAUUACAGAUGUUUCCCUGGAUAUGAGAACAAGCAUUGUUCUCAUAGUGCCCAGAUGGAUAUAUCUGAAGCUGAAUUUCCUAACUCCUGUGAAUGCCUCAAACUGCUUGAGAACUGAUACAUUGGCUCCCUCUUCUGGAACUUUUUUUUUCUUCCUUUUUGCACCGCUAACCCUGUCACCACUGGAUUUUUGCAAAGUAUGGACGUUAGAGAUUGACUUGGAUAGAUUAUCAUUUCAAUGAAUAUUUCAAACAAUGCUCAAAGUGCCAUAAUGACUUCUCAUAGUAAGGCAAAGGGAUACAAGAGGAGUUGUUGGUUUGUUUUUGUUAUUUAAUUUUUUUCUUGUCAUUUUUUUUGCAGGCCUACAUCAUAGCAACCCAUGCCUGCACAUUGCCUUAACCCAGCCAAAAUGUGAUUGUCAAAGGAGGAUAUAUGGGGUAGCAGGAGAUGUCAGGAUUCUGUAUAAUGUUAACAUUAGCCUGCCAUUCCACAGAACUGAUCUACUGACUGGAUGGCACACUGAUAGGACUGCUAUGUUAAUGGAAAUCCUCCAUAAUGACAACAGCUCUUGUUUACUCCAGAAAUCAAAUGUGUGCAGAGUUGCCUUUUAAGUAAGGUUUAAAAAAUGAAUGCCCCUUAGCUCAGAAAACAUCUGCCACCAAUUUUUUGUUCAAGUGCUAUCAUUGAUGUUACAUUAACUUGGUGGAACAAGUGCAAUGAAAAAAUAUGGCAAUACAGUGCCCAGAAAUAAGCUUUUUUAAUUCAUAUUUACACCAGUAGUUAUCUUCACAAUAACAAUAUUAAGCUCUGCACUCCAAAGCCUUUAACCUGAUGACUUGACGCAGGAGGGUAUCCUUUAUCUGUAAGCAUGGUAACAUGACUCCAAUUGCACUGGGGAUAGUUAUUAAAGUAUUACUUUGCCUUCUGGUUCACAUGCUUACCUGCAACCAUUCCCCAACUAACUGGCAUUGUUAUCUAGAACUGUGUAGAAACCAGAAAUGGUUUAAGGAUGGGGCAACAUAGGCAUUUGCCCUUGACCCCGCACGUGCAGGGGCCCCAUGGCCAGAGGAUGUCCUUGGUAAAGAAUAAAUUAUAUAUAUAUAUAUAUAUAUAUAAUUACUUUGUGUAAUAAUUGUUAGAUGCUUUCAGUAUUUAUAUCAGGGGUAUUCAAUAUACAGCAUUGCAGUUGUUCUUGAUCUACAAAGUUCAGCAUUCCUUUGAUUCCAAAUAUCUGUCAGACUGAUUGUGGAAAUUGUAGCUCAACAAUGGCUGAAAGGCUUCAGUUGGAUGAUUUAAGUGGUUUUUUCUCUCAAGCUGAGGCCCAGUCUUGGCUGCAUUGUAUCGCACCCCCUAAAUCUGUAACUAUGGCCUCCAUUAUAUCAGAGGAAAAGCUGCUUUAAUUGUUUAUAUCUUUUAUCCACUGUUGGUGUUAGUUUUUAUGUAACUAGUUUUUUCUUUUCUCAAAAUAAAGUGAGGACAUGUUUCUAAACAGUAAUACCAACAAAACAUUUAGAACUAACUAAUAUUUUUUACAGUUUCAGUGUAAGAUAUAUAGUGUCUGUAAACUCUUUUACACUAUGUUAGAAAGGUUUCUUUUGUGGAUAUCUGGAACAAUAUUUUUUGUGAAGUCUGGGAUUUUGUUAGUAUAUUAGAAUGCAUACUGGUAUUUUAUCUUAAUGUACUUGUGACUAUAAAAAAAAUGACUACAGUGGACCUUUUUUGGGGGGGAGGGGGAAAGUUUAUUAGAGUAAGAUGUGUUUAUAAAUUAUUGAUUUUCAACUUGCUUAGAUAAAAAAAAAACAAAUA